rnacentral:ncRNA from 1 species
UAGUUUGACAUUGUGAAAGGACAUAGGGGGUGUAGGAUAGGUGGGAGCUUCGCCGCCGGUGGAAUCCCACUACCCUUAACGUUUUCUUACUUUUUCGAUGAAGCAGUGGCCACUGGAUUGGUGGUGAAGGUCGAGGUAAUGGAGUGAAGAUAGCUAGUCGUACUUGCAAGGAAAGACGUUUGAGCAUG